rnacentral:rRNA from 1 species
AUUGAACGCUGGCGGCAGGCUUAACACAUGCAAGUCGAGCGGGGGAAGGUAGCUUGCUACCGGACCUAGCGGCGGACGGGUGAGUAAUGCUUAGGAAUCUGCCUAUUAGUGGGGGACAACAUCUCGAAAGGGAUGCUAAUACCGCAUACGUCCUACGGGAGAAAGCAGGGGAUCUUCGGACCUUGCGCUAAUAGAUGAGCCUAAGUCGGAUUAGCUAGUGGGUGGGGUAAAGGCGUACCAAGGCGACGAUCUGUAGCGGUGCUGAGAGGAUGAGCCGCCACACUGGGACUGGGACACGGCCCAGACUCCUACGGGAGGCAGCAGUGGGGAAUAUUGGACAAUGGGGGGAACCCUGAUCCAGCCAUGCCGCGUGUGUGAAGAAGGCCUUAUGGUUGUAAAGCACUUUAAGCGAGGAGGAGGCUACUUUAGUUAAUACCUAGAGAUAGUGGACGUUACUCGCAGAAUAAGCACCGGCUAACUCUGUGCCAGCAGCCGCCGUAAUAC